UUAGGCUAUAAUCUUGUCACAACAGUAAACGAAUCGGGUUCAGACCUGGUCAGUAGUUAGAUGGCAAUCCACAUUGGAGAAGCUAGGUGCAGCCGAAG
rnacentral:rRNA from 1 species